rnacentral:snRNA from 1 species
AUGCUUGCUUCGGCAGCACACGUACUAAAAUUACAACGAUACAGAAAAGAUUAGCAUGGCCCCUGGGCAAGAAUGACAUGCAAAUUCGUGAAGUAUUCUGUAUUUUA